GAGCGGCCGUAGCAAUACGGCAGCGGCAGACGGGAGAGUAACACGUGGGAACGCGCCCUUCGGUUCGGAAUAACUCAGGGAAACUUGGGCUAAUACCGGAUACGCCCUUACGGGGAAAGAUUUAUCGCCGAAGGAACGGCCCGCGUCCGAUUAGCUUGUUGGUGAGGUAACGGCUCACCAAGGCGACGAUCGGUAGCUGGUCUGAGAGGAUGACCAGCCUCACUGGGACUGAGACACGGCCCAGACUCCUACGGGAGGCAGCAGUGGGGAAUAUUGGACAAUGGGCGCAAGCCUGAUCCAGCCAUGCCGCGUGAGUGACGAAGGCCUUAGGGUUGUAAAGCUCUUUUGGCGGGGAAGAUAAUGACGGUACCCGCAGAAUAAGCUCCGGCUAACUUCGUG
rnacentral:rRNA from 1 species